AACGCACAUUGCGCCCAUUAGUACUCUAGUGGGCAUGCCUGUUCGAGCGUCAUUACAACCCUCAAGCGCUGUAGUGCUUGGCGUUGGGGCUUCUGCUGCCUGUAGCAGGCCCUGAAAAACAGUGGCGAGCUUGCCGUGACCCUGAGCGUAGUAGUUUACACCUCGCUUCUGUGGCCCGCGGUGGGAUCUCAGCCGUGAAACCCCCAAUUUUCACAAGGUUGACCUCGGAUCAGGUAGGAAUACCCGCUGAACUUAA
rnacentral:misc_RNA from 1 species